CGCAUUUCUGAAUGCAGGUUUUACAUUUGACAGGCAUUUAUCGCAAAGUACGCAAGAAGGUCGGAGAUGCUUAUAAUAUUUCAGGCAACAAUCGAGGCGUGCCAGAUAACCUUAUUAGAGGAAACGGACGUCACAGUUUAUGGUUGAAUUCCCCUCAUAUUUGGGAAAGACUUCCACAUGACAAAGGGGAUAUUGAGUAACCACAGGGGGCCAACACAAGUGGCACACAGUAGCCUGAGAGUAACAGUCAACAGUCUCUCUUAUACAGUAGAGUAACAGUCAACGCAAAAUCUACCAAGUCGCUCAAAUUCGCCAUUUGGAACCACAGAAACAACAAUACACAGCAAGUGAGGUCGGACAGUUGGCAGCACAGUCGUUCAAAACUCCCUCGCAUCUUCUCUCACACAAUUCGGCGAUGUCCAUGUCACAGAAGAUCA